UACGGGGGGAGCAAGCGUUGUUCGGAUUUACUGGGCGUAAAGGGCGCGUAGGCGGCGUGGCAAGUCACUUGUGAAAUCUCCGGGCUUAACUCGGAACGGUCAAGUGAUACUGUCGUGCUAGAGUACAGAAGGGGCAACUGGAAUUCUCGGUGUAGCGGUGAAAUGCGUAGAUAUCGAGAGGAACACCUGCGGCGAAGGCGGGUUGCUGGGCUGAUACUGACGCUGAGGCGCGAAAGCCAGAGGAGCGAACGGG
rnacentral:rRNA from 1 species